GACCCUGAGGCUCUAAGAGGAGAAGCCCUGUUCUCUAUCCAAGGAGAGGACGACUUAGGUUUUCAGGGAACACGGGCGAGAAAACUGAGGCACAGAGAAGUGAGGAACGUGCCCAGGGUCACAUAACAUAGUGGUAAAGCCUGGAUUCAAACCCAGCCAAUCUGCCCCAGAGGCCAAGUUCAGAGCUCACUCUUCUUGCAUAAGAAAAAAAAUCUCUCGGUUAAAAUGAAUGGAAAGUAGCUCGCCAUACUCAAGACACAUUUUGAACUCAAGCAUUAUUCUUAGAGGAAGAUCUUUUCAUAGAGACAAGCACGAGAAAAGGGCUGCUGAGUAAAGGUGUUG